CGGUGAAUACGUUCCCGGGCCUUGUACACACCGCCCGUCAAGCCAUGGAAGCUGGGGGUACCUGAAGUAUGUAACCGCAAGGAGCGUCCUAGGGUAAAACCGGUAACUGGGGCU
rnacentral:rRNA from 1 species